GGGAGCUGCAGGGUGGUGGGAGGGGCCCCAGCCUCUGAGCCUGUCCUCCCACAGGAAAGUCCAUCAAACCAAAUGACCAUCAGAGGGCAGUGGCCAAGACCCAGCACCAGAAGAAGAAUGAUGUUAGCAUGCUGUCCGAGGCCGAGGAGGGGAUGAAGGUGAAGCUGCUGGAGCUGCAGGGCCCAGUGAUGCAGCUUAUGAUCAACCACAAGGUCCAGCACCCUGCUAAUGAGUCCACUCCAGGGGCCCCAGCCCGCCAGGAGCUUGGUGCUGCUGACAAGGAUGGUGAGUAGAGCCCUCAGGCGGGGUGGGCAGGCAGGAGCAGGGGAGGCUGGCACUGUACUCAGAUCCCCACCUCCCUCUCUCCAAAGAAUUUUAUGAGAUGAGCCCGGACGAUGACAGCUACAGCCUGGAGCCUGCAGGAGGGAGGGUACACCACACCCCACUGCACAGCAGAUGGCUCACAGCUGUGUGAGCUGCGGGAUGGCCAGCAACACUGACCCUUGGGCAGCAGUCCCUCUAUGCCAUGCUUUUACCGGGCUGCUGCGAAGGAGGAGGUGAACAUCACCAUCAGCUAAGAACUGGCCAAGAAAUUUACAAAGGAACAAAGUUAUAGGAUUAGUCUUCUACAUGUUAACUUUAUUUGAAUGUUAGAGCCACUCAUGAUGAUUUGUGUUUCUAAUUUAUAGUUUAUUUGUAAAAAGUUAAAGGA